UUCACUUAUGUUCGGACGAAGAAUGCUGUCGCUCCAUAAAAGACUAUCGGAUCCCAGUCGCAAACCUGCCAGCUCCGAUUGCACCAACUUUCGACGAGCUCGUUCUCGCUUCAGUAUCUACCAAAAACAGAUGCCUGCCAGGCGUCAGAGUCUGGGCAAAGUCGACUAUGGAGUGACCUUUGCGUGCAAACGAUCAGUAAUGCCGUCCAGUUCACAAUUAGCCGGUAGCAGCCAUGUGAAUGAUUGAUCUGUAUACAGAUCUGUAUUGUACUUCUCCUAGUUUUUCCGCCUUCUCUUCUUGCAAAUUAUCAGCCAGCCGACGCACAAAUGUUUCGGUGUUUAACCGGUAAUCCCGAUGAAAUUCCAAGCCACCAUCCCGCAGCGCUUCCCGUAAACAUUUAAUGCGCUCAGCUGAGCGGUGGGCUCGCAUUUCCAGGCAUCGCUUGUACCUUGUGUGCACAUCGUACCGAAUCUUCCAUUCGUUUUCUGUAAUACGAACAUUAGGUACAUAUACAUGAAAAUGAAAGUUUUUCAUUUAGAUUUCAUCUGGAAAGGAUUUUGCAUUUAGAUCAUGCGAACGCAAGGCGUUGCCGUUUGUUAAACACUAACUGACGUGA